rnacentral:rRNA from 1 species
UACGUAGGUGGCGAGCGUUGUCCGGAUUUACUGGGCGUAAAGGGAGCGUAGGCGGACUUUUAAGUGAGAUGUGAAAUACCCGGGCUCAACUUGGGUGCUGCAUUUCAAACUGGAAGUCUAGAGUGCAGGAGAGGAGAAUGGAAUUCCUAGUGUAGCGGUGAAAUGCGUAGAGAUUAGGAAGAACACCAGUGGCGAAGGCGAUUCUCUGGACUGUAACUGACGCUGAGGCUCGAAAGCGUGGGGAGCAAACAGGAUUAGAUAUCCCCGUA